AUGAGAGGGGGGAGGGUCAGAGGGAGAAGCAGACUCCCUGCAGAGCAGGGAGCCCAAUGCGGGACUCGAACCAGGGACUCCGGGAUCAUGACCUGAGCCGAAGGCAGUUGCUUAACCAACUGAGCCACCCAGGCGCCCGUGGGUUUUACUGUUUUAAAGGACACUUUCAUAUCUGUUAUCUAAGCACCUUAAACCUUUCAUUAGAUCUACCAUAUAAUUGGUUUUGUUCUGGGCACCUGGGUGGCUCAGUCGUUUAAACGGUUAAACGUCUGCCUUCAGCUCAUGUCAUGAUCCCGGGGCUGGGAUCGAGCCCCACAUCAGGCUCCCUGUUACUUGGGAAGCCUGCUUCUCCCUCUCCCACUCCCCCUGCUUGUGUUCCUUCUCUCGCUGUGUCUCUCUCUGUCAAAUAAAUAAAUAAAAUCUUUAAAAAAAAAUAAUUGGUUUUGUUCUUUCUUGACCUUUCUAAAGUGAGGAAAAACCUUGCCUCUUUUAAUUCAGGAACUGUCUUUGCAUAUUUACAUAGGUACAUCUUUCAUUCUACUCCCCAACUGUUAUAUGCAUGGUUGGGCGAUUAUAGUUAAAUGAAUGGAUGAAUGGAUAAAUAAAAGGCAGAUUUCAAAAGGAGGAGCAAGAAGCUUCAGAGACACAAUGAGAAAGGAAACACAAGCACGGGGAGUGGGGGAUAGGGAGAAGCAGGCUCCCCGCGGGGCAGGGAGCCCGAAGCGGGGCUCCAUCCCAGGACGCUGGGACCAUGACUUGAGCCAAAGGCAGACACUUAACGACUGAGCCACCCAGAUGCCCCUAGCAGGGGGAAAUGCAAACCAGAAUUAAAUGUCCAAACUAGGAAGAAAGAAACAGUGGAUGUUCAUGUCUUUAGGUCCCACAGCUGUUAUGACUGGAUCAUGAAUUUGACUCUAAAUAUAACAAAAGAGAAAAAAAGUAGAGGUGAGUGAAAUUUGUAUGUGAGGAUACCACAUGAAACCCUUUUUUAGGACUUAAUUCUCAAAUAGAGUCCCUCUGUGGGAGCCUCAAAAAGAGUCUUUUUGGAAAAUGUUGGGAAUGGUUUCUUCAGUAACAUUCCCUAUAAUAUAUGUAGUGAUAGGUUUAAUAGGACGGCUUCUUUUUGAUCUCACAAUGAAACUCAAGGCCAUAGGGGUGCCUGGGUGGCUCAUUCAGUUAAGCGUCUGCCUUUGGCUCAGGUCAUAAUCCCAGGGUCCUGGGAUCGAGUCCUGUAUCGGGCUUCCUGCUCAGUGGGGAGUCUGCUUCUCCCUCUCCCUCUGCUUCCCCCCCGCCUCCCGCUGUGCUCUCUCUCUCUCUCAAAUAAAUAAAUAAAAUCUAAAAAAAAAAAAAAAAAAAGAAACUCAAGGCCAUAAUGUUAAAGCAUGAUUUGAUAAGAAGAGUUAUGUGAGAUACCAUGAUUGUAUGGACCAAGCAUGCAUGGUUUGGUAUGAUCCACAUAUAAAAUCUGGAGUACUGAGAGGGAUGGAAUGAUGGUCUGUACAUUUGCCAGUCAAUCCUGAGCUUCGUAUAUACUUCAGAAAUCAAAUGAACGCAUGGUAGAGUUAAUGUCUUUGUCCUGAAAAUUGAGAAGUAUAGACAGGGGAUAUAGUGACAGUUCAUGAUAUUGAGCUCACAGUUGAAUGGGUAAUUUUCCCAGGCUACAGGACUAUUAUAGAAGCCAAGAAAGUAAAUUUUCAGUAAGAAGAUAUUUUUCAGUCUUGUGAAAUACAGCAGAGAGAUGGAUGCCAUGUUAUAUAAGGAUUAAAAAGUGUCCAUUGCAUUUCAGAGACAGGUCUUGGGUAUCUUAGCAGGUACAGCAUCAGUGGAGUGUUGCAGAGUAGAAAUCCCAUUGUAAUGGGUUCAGGAUUGAGUGCAAGAUGAGGAAGGGGCAACUUUGUAUGUAGACUUACCUUGUAGUUGAAGGUGUAUUGGGAAGAAGGAGAGAACCAGAAUCUUGGGGCCCCAGUGUUGAAGGAGGAGUUUUGUUGAAGGACCUAAAGAGGCUUGAGAUUGUAUGCUAAGGAUGACGAACCAAGGGAGAUGGAAAAAUUGAAGAUAAAAAGCAGAAUGAUGGGGUGCCUGGGUGGCUCAGUCGGUUAAGCAUCUGUCUUCGGCUCAGGUCAUGAUUCCAGAGUCCUGGGAUCGAGGCCCGCAUUGGACUCCCUGUUCAGUGGAGAGUCUGCUACUUUCUCAGCCUCUGCCUCUGUUCCUGCUUGUGUGCCCCCCCCCCAAUAAAUAAGUACAUAGAAAAACAGAAUGAGGAUUAAUAUUGCAAGGUGCUUGUGAUUGGGGGUGGGAAUUCAGGUCAUUGAAGGUGGCAAAUGGAUCAGUUCUACUGAGCUCAGCUCUGCUGAGAAGUAAGAGUACCCAUCUCAUUCUACAUCCCUGCCCUCCCCAAGUCAUACAGAGAAGUACAGACAUGGAUAAAGGGGUUUAGUCUAGAAAAGGUGGAUGAAAUCAGGAUAUGAAUCAAGAUCGGGGCUUCUGGGUGGCUCAGUUGGUUGAACAUCUGGCUCUUGAUUUCGGCACAGGUCAUGAUCUCAUGCUCAGUGGGGAGUCUGCUUAAGGAUUUCUCUCCCUCUCCCCCCUUCUCUUGCGUGCAUGCUCUCUCUCUCUCAGGUAAAUAUGUCUUUAAAAAAAAAAAAAAAAAAAGGACAUGCAUGACUCAACUGAAGAGGUGACUGAGACCAGCAGCAGUUCUCUCCUAAACUUUGAAAAUGAGAGCUGUCGUGGGAGCUGUAAAUAAGGGGACCUGGGUGUGGAACAUGGAUUAAGUGGACAGAGAAACCAAGAAGCCCAGCAAAAAUAAAAAUGUAUUCCAUUUUGCCACUUCUUCCAGUAGAUGAUUUUGUUUUUGUGUACCUAGUGGCUCCUUCUACCCCCGGGACUUUCUCACCCAGGAAGGAACACGUGUGGUGGAGGCAACAGGGAUCUGGAUAGUAAGGAAGCUGGAUUUGCACGUCUCGUAUAGGAAGUUUGUUUUAGGUGGACAUUUGAAACCCACUUACAGUUAGCAUGUAGAGUUAAAGGCUGAAGACCGAAGGCCUUAGGAACUGUGUUUGCUGUUGGGACACGUUCAAAUAAAGAAAAGUAGAUGACACUCAGUGACCGAACUGUAUUUAUUGGCCUGGAAAGGCACAUGGCCUACUCAGAUCAGUUCUCACCAUCCAAAAGGAGCAGAUUUCAGGGCUGAGUCAAGGGCAAGGGAGAAAAAGGAAGAUGCUUUUCUGUCAGGUAAAGGGCUGGUUAAGAAAAUGUCAUCUACUUUGGGCACCAGAGAACAGCUUUUAGUUGCUACUGCAGCAGGAGCAGCAACAGCUGGAUAGAUUGUGCUGGAGCUUUUGUCGGCAGAGAGCAGAAAGCCCAUGGUGGUGGAAGCAGUAGUUGAGAGAAAUCGUGGAGAAAGGAAAAUAAUGUGCAGCUUACGUAAUGUGGUAAAAGGCCUGGUAGAAAAGGGGAGAAAUUGUUUUAUUCUAUUUAUAAGUAACCAACAUGUUUUCCAAGGCCUGAGCAGCUCUGAAUCAAGAAAUAGGAGUCACAGUAACAUUAGGAACUAGGAAUUUCUUGAAAGUCUUGGUGUGAGCUUCUCUUUUUAACUGGGAACUGCAGAAAUGCCUAGUCCAAGUGCAGACCUUGAGUGGCUCAUGCAUUUAUUCUCUGGCUACUAUCCCAGCAGCCAUGGGCCAGAGAGGUCCCUACUUUUGGGGCCCUUGACUUGUGGUCAAGAAUCCUUUCCUUUUUGCCAUUUUUAUUUCAGUGGACGAUUUUGUUUCUUUUAUCUAGAGGGCUCCCCCGACCACAAGGUCAUCCAGGGAGUGAGGAUCAGGAAUCCUCUUCUGCUGCCACCCUCAGUCUACUGUGGUAGGAUUGCCUUUGGGUGCAGGGCAUGUGCUGGAAUGGCAGAUUUGUGUAAAUAGGACUUAGCUGCGCUUGUCUCUUGCUGUCUCUGUACUUCUUUCAACAAGAGCCCCAUGGGCUUGGGUUACUCCGCACCUACAGGAGGAACCUGAAACCAAGGCGUGGGAGUCAUGGGAACCACUCAAUCUGGUUUGCAAACACAUUGGGGGCUUAACCCACCUCUCUGCAGGGCUGAUUCUGUUUUCCUCCUAGACAAGAUUUUGUGUGGUUCAGGUAUUCUGGCCCCCAGGAACUGUGGAGUGCAUACAGAUAUGCAGAGAGGACAGGCUCUGAUACAAGUACCAACCCAGUAUUUUUGUCUUUUGAGCUUUUCCUCGCUAUGCCUUGGCAAAAGAAAUAAGGAGGAAAUGGUUUGAGUGAACACAUCAUUACUGGCUUCUGAUAGCUCUAGCUCUCUCUGUCGGAAAGUUAUUUGUGUGGAUAUUUGUUACUAGUUAUAAUGCUUAGUAACAGUUUCAGGAACUCAUUUAAUAGUUUCUCCUAGGUGUGCAGUUGUUUUUCUCGAGCAGAUUUGGUUUUUAAUCACACAUCCUGGAUUAAGAAUGACAGUUAUCUAACAUUUAUGAAAUUAUCCUGACAACUGAAUUUAUAGUCCAUUUGUUAACAGGCUGUUGCUAAUUCGAUCUAUUUGCAUCUUCUCUAACCUGUGAGCAAUUUGGAGGGAACCAGAUUUAUUUUAUUUAUUCCUCUAUUCCUUGUGCUUACCAUGUAGUAGGCGUGCAAAAGUAGAGAUAAUAGCAAUAAUGAAGGGAAACAUGGACCUUGAGUUUCUGGAGCUUGUAUUCUGAUGGGUCUUCAAAGGAUAUUGAAUGUGAGUAUAUUGGAGUGUGUGUGUGGAGUGGGAAAGUUUUGAAAUGGGUGUGAUGUAUUAGGGUUCUCCUGAGAAACAGAACCAACAGGAUGUAUUUAUGGAGAGAGAAAGAGAUUUAUUAUAAGGGAUUGUCUCAUGUGAUUAUGGAGGCUCAGAAGUCCCAAGAUACGCGCUAUACACACUGGAGAUCCAGGAGAGCCGAUGAUGUGGUUCCAAUCUGAGUCCAGAGGCCUAAGAAUCAUGAGAGCUGAUGGCAGGUGGUUCAGUCCAAAAGCUGACAAACUUAAGACUCAAGAAAAGCUGAUGUUUCAGUUUGAGUUGACUGGGAACCCAAAGUUGGCAAGAAAAGACUGAUGUCUUGGCUCAAGUGCUCAGACAUGAGGACUUCUCUCUUAUUCCAGGGAAGGCCAGCCUUUUUGUUCUAUUUGGACCUUGAACUGAUUGGUUGAGGGCCACCCACAUUAUGGAGGGCAAUGUGCUUUACUCAGUCUUUGAUGCAAAUGUUAAUUUCAUUCAGAAACACCGCGAGACACGCUCAGAGUACUGUUUGACCAGAUGUCAGGUAACCUCUCCCCACCAGCCUAGUCAAGCUGUGACACAUAAAAUUAACUAUCAAAGAUAGAUAAUACAACAAUUUUAUAAUAUAAAUAUCAGUAUAAUAAUUUUAAAGCAUCAUGGAAUAAGUGACUGAACUUUUAAAAUUGUUGAAUUAGGAAUCAUUCUCCCACUUUUCCAGGACUAUUUUCAUUUGAAGUUGAUGUAGUAUAUGUUAUUUAAAAAUUACUCAGAUGUUAACAGAUUUGACUCUUCUUAGUAAUUGAAUCAUUCUUGUGCAGAAACCCUUUGCUGCAAUGCAAAAAAAAAAAAGGUGCUAUUGGUAAAAGAAGGGGUGUCAAAUAUAUAGUACAGGACUGUUGUUUUAAAAAUUAUUUUUUUAAAAGUAUAGUAGUAGCAAAUUGCUAUGCUGCUGUAUUAUCUCUUCCUGUAUCUGGUGCUGAUUUCUGAUCAUUCUGGAUUAUGUUUAAAACCAAAGGCAGUCUGUGAAUACAAAAAAUUAGUAUUUUGUAUUUAAGUUAUAAAAACUCUUUGUUGAGAAAAUACCUAGAUUCAUAAAGAAUGAUUUUUCACUGUCCACAUAGUUCCUUAUCUGUAUGUUCUAUCAUUUAUCCUUUAUUACUAGAAUUCUUUACUUUUUAAAUUGAUGCACUAAAUUUUUUUUAAAUUUUAUUUUAUUAUGUUAUGUUAAUCACCAUACAUUACAUCAUUAGUUUUUGGUGCAGUGUUCCAUGAUUCAUUGUUUGCAUAAAACACCCAGUGCUCCAUUCAAUAUGUGUCCUCUUUAUUUAUUUUUUAUUUAUUUAUUUAUUUUUUAAAUACAUUCUUUUUAUUUAUUUAUUUAUUUAUUCAUGAGAGACAGAGAGAGAGAGAGAGAGAGGCAGAGGGAGAAGCAGGCUCCCAAGGAGCAGGGAGCCCGAUGCGGGACUCGAUCCCAGGACCCUGAGAUCAUGACCUGAGCUGAAGGCAGACGCUUAACCAUCUGAGCCACCCAGGCGCCCAAUAUGUGUCCUCUUUAAUACCCAUCACCUGGCUAACCCAUCCCCCCAACCCCCUCCCCUCUAGAACCCUCAGUUUGUUUCUCAGAGUCCAUAGUCUCUCAUGGUUUGUCUCCCCCUCCGAUUCCCCCCCUUCAUUUUUCCCUUCCUACUAUCUUUUUUUUUUUUUUUUAAUAUAGAAUGUAUUAUUUGUUUCAGAGGUACAGGUCUGUGAUUCAUCAGUCUUACACAAUUCACAGCACUCACCAUAGCACAUACCCUCCCCAAUGUCUAUCACCCAGUCACCCCAUCCCUCCCACCCCCCACCACUUCAGCAACCCUCAGUUUGUUUCCUGAGAUUAAGAAUUCCUCAUAUCAGUGAGAUCAUAUGAUACAUGUCUUUUCUCUGGCUGACUUAUUUCGCUUAGCAUAAUACCCUCUAGUUCCAUCCACGUCAUUGCAAAUGGCAAGAUUUUGGUUUUUUUGAUGGCUGCAGUAUAUUCCAUUGUAUAUAUACACCAUAUCUUCUUUAUCCAUUCAUCUGUUGAUGGACAUCUUGGCUCUUUCCAUAGUUUGACUAUUGUGGACAUUGCUGAAAUAAACAUUGGGGUGCACGUAUCCCUUUGGAACACUACAUUUGUAUCUUUGAGGUAAAUACCCAGUAGUGCAAUUGCUGGGUUGUACAGUAGCUCUAUUUUCAAAUUUUUGAGGAACCUCCAUAUUGUUUUCCAGAGUGUGGCUGCACCAGCUUGCAUUCCCACCAACAGUGUAGGAGGGUUCCCCUUUCUCUGCAUCCUUGCCAGCCUCUGUCAUUUCCUGACUUGUUAAUUUUAGCCAUUCUGACUGGUGUGAGGUGGUAUCUCAUUGAAGUUUUGAUUUGGAUUUCCCUGAUGCCGAGCGAUGUUGAGCACUUUUUCAUGUAUCUGUUGGCCAUUUGGAUGUCUUCUUUGGAAAAAUGUCUGUUCAUGUCUUCUGCCCAUUUCUUGAUUGGGUUAUUUGUUUUUUGGGUGUUGAGUUUGAUGAGUUCUUUAUAGAUUUUGGAUACUAGCCCUUUAUGUGAUAUGUCAUUUGCAAAUAUCUUCUCCCACUCUGUCGGUUGUCUUUCGGUUUUGUUGACUGUUUCCUUUGCUGGAUGCACUGAGUAUUUUUGUUUAUAAGUUUCCUGCAUAGCUCCCUCCCUCCCUCUCUCUCUCUUUUUUACAAUAAAUGCUGUGGAGUUAAUAAAUGGAGUGGAGCUGUGUCAAUGUCUAGUUUUUGAACAGUUUUAAUAAAUAUUGCCUAAUUGCUCUUAUUUUAUAAGCUCUUAUAUAAAAUAUUAAUAAUUGAUAACUUAUAUUGAGUGCUAGGUAGAACCUGAGCUUUAUGUGGAUUGUUUCAUCUGAUCCUCAAAAUAACCUUGUGAUUAAGAUGUUAAUAUUGCCCUUUAGGCAACAGCUGAGUGCCUACAGUGUGCAAAGCACUGUGCCAGGCAAGGGAACUAUAGGAAUGAACAGUGCAACCAUUGUUGAUGCCCACAUUCUAAAGGAAAAGGACAACUACUACUCUCAGUUUAUUUAAUUGUCAUAGUGAGAAAGACUCUGAAAGAAAUAUUUAGGCUACUUUGAAAGUACUAUCACACAGGGUAUAAGGAGGAGUGGCAAGAAAGAAAUUAUCUUUGAAUAAACACCUUUGCAGCUUAAGUUCAGUAGGCCACAUGGGGGAAGGAAGUGUGUUAGGCUGAGAAGGCAGCAUGUGUGACUCCUAGUCUCUUCUGUCACAGUGUCUGGAAGACUGAGUUUGUAUUUGAGAAGAGUAUGUUGCCCAGCAGAUCUGGUUUCAUGAAAAAUCUGAAUUUGAGCCGUUUUCUGUUCAGAAUGCUUACUUCUGGGGCACCUGGGUAGCUCAGUCAGUUAAGCAUCUGCCUUCGGCUCAGGUCAUGAUCCCAGGGUCCUGGGAUUGAGCCCCGCAUCAGGCCCCCUGUUCCUUGGGAAGCCUGCUUCUCCCUCUUCCACUCCCCCCCUGCUUGUGUUCCCUCUCUCGCUGUCUCUCUCUCUGUCAAAUAAAUAAAUAAAAUCUUAAAAAAAAAAAAAAAGGAUGCUUUCCUUCAUCCCAUCUGGUCUCCACAGACCACAUCAGAGAGGAUGUCACUUAAGGGACUUACUAAAAGAUUCUGUGGGCUUUGUAGAUUGAUAAGACAUGGUAUGGGGGAGAAAAGUAGAGAUAAGCUUAUUUUUGUUCUAUUGUACAAUUUCUGUCUCUUUUUAUCUGCCUUGUGAUGCCAGUGAAAGUAAGACUGCUGUCCGGCAUGUGCGUAGGUUGGUGGAGAGGCUCUAUGAUUUUCAAUUACUUUCUCUAGACAGCUUCUCCAGUAAGUUACCUACCUCCUAGUUUUUUCCCCUAAGAUUCAUACAGUAAAUUACAACCCAUUUCUUAGAAUUGUAGUUCCAUGAAAGGUUGCUUUGGAGUAAGCUAAAAAUAAUUUUUUAAAAAAGAUUUUAUUUAUUUGACAGAGCAAGAGAGCACAAGUGAGGGGAGCAGCAGGUAGAGGGUGAGGGAGAAGCAGGCUCCCCACUGAGCAGGGAGCCUGACAUGGGGCUCCAUCCCAGGACCCUGAGAUCAACCCCAGCCAAACGCAGAUGCUUAACUGACUGAGCCACCCAGGCGCCCUGUUAAAAAUAAUUUUUAACUGAAAAAAUUAAUAUAUAAACUAAGGAGAGGUUAAUUGUCCUUAGCAUAGAACUCCCUUCCAUUACCUUCUUUGAAUCUUUUUGUGACCUCAGAAAGAAAAAAAGGUGGAAAGUCUGUAAAAAUAAUGUAUUUCAAAAUGCUUUCUGCCUUCUAAAAUGUAUGAAUCUUGUUUCUAGUGGAAUUAUGAUACAGUCCUGUGUGUUCAAAUGAUCAUGCUGCUUUUUCCUUUGAUUGCUCAGAAUUAAGCUUGAGUGCAGCAAAGCUAUAAAAAUCACAAGUAGAGUGGGUUGUGUUGUGAGGUCUUUAAUCAUUAUGAACAAAAAUAAAAUAGAAAGUUACCUCAAGAUACUAUUUUGGAAUAUGAUAUUACCUUGUGGACAUUUAUGCUUUUGUUUUUCUAAUCAUGAUUGUGAUUUUGGGAUUAUUUCAUUAUAUAUAAACAAGGAUUGAUAAGGCAAAAGAAAUAGUUCAUCAUAGUAUUAAUAUUUUAACAAUAAUCUUUUGUACCUGCCUAAGGAAGAGAUAAAAAAAGGUGUUGUUUUUUUUUUUCUUUUAUUCUUUAAAACAAAACAAAAUAAAACUGAGCUAAUUUAAGCGGUUGCAAUUUCUGGGAAACAAAGGCUUUGGUGUACAUGCUUUUGAUAGUAGACAUUGUGACCAUAUCAUGUAUGCUUUCUUAAUAAUGUCUGACAUUAUCAGAUUGAUUAACUCAGCAUGAGGCCUAAUCAUAUUUAACUAUGGUUGGCAGCUGUACACUAGAAGAAUAGUAAUACAGAGGGGGAAUAAAAUUAGUUUUUUAAUAAGCUGUAUUAAAUACAAAACUAAAAAAUGUAUCAGAAGCAUUCAUUAUUUCGCAUUGACAUGUAAAACUAUUGUAUUCACACAGUAUCCUUUUCAAAUUCAUGCUGACUUAUAUUUUCAAAGAUUGGCUACUGCCAGAAGCUAGACCUACUGAUAAUAAGAUUUUCAUUUGAUAAUUGAUGGUGUAGGUUUCAGGGAGUUAUGAUUUCCUGCAGGCUUCAAAGGUCAACAUUUGUAUCUACAUAUUGGUGUUCACUGUGUAAACGUCAUAGAUUAUCCAACCCAUCUAAAACUGGAACCAAAACCUCUGCUUACUUUUCCCAGAAUCAGCAUAUUUCUUUAAAAAAUUAGUCAUUGCAGAAGUAAUUGUUUUCCCCAUUGCUUUUUUUUUUUUUUUAAAGAUUUUAUUUAUUUAUUCAUGAGAGAUAGAGAGAGAGAGAGAGGCAGAGGCAGAGGGAGAAGCAGGCUCCCCGCAGAGCAGGGAGCCCGAUGCGGGACUCGAUCCCAGGACCCUGGGAUCAUGACCUGAGCCGAAGGCAGACGCUUAACCAACUGAGCCACCCAGGCGUCCCUUCCCCAUUGCUUUUUGAAAAAUAUUUAUUUAUUUGAGAGAGAAAGUGUGAGUGAGUGAGUGCCUGUGAGUGGGGGGGAGGGGACAGAGGGAGAGAAUCUCAAGCAGACUCACUGCUGAGCAUGGAGCCCCACAUGGCCUGAUCCCCAGGACCCAUGAGAUCAUGAUCUGAGCUGAAACCAAGAGUCAAGAGUUAGAUACUCAACCAACUAAGCCACCAGGUGCCCUUCCUCAUUGCUUUUUUUAAAAAUAUAAUCGUAAAAAGUUAAUAAAUGAUACAUAUGAAAGAGUCCUAAAUUAAGGAGGUGUGAUUAAUUCUGAUUCUGCCUGUUAACUUUAACUGGGGUCUUGGAGUUUAAUUAGAUCUAUUCACCAAAUGUUUAGUGAAUGCCUAUCAUGUGCAGACCGUUCAGGGCUCUGUGGUUUUGACCAAAACUGCAAAGAUUUUGGCCUCAAUCAAAGCACUAUUUUGGUGUGCUGAGAUUCCCUAUUAAGGAUAACAGUCAUUAAUUACACUUUGAGGACUAAUUUUCAAAUAUCUGAGAAAUAGGCAUAACAAAAACAGUCAGUUUCUGAGUUGUGUUGCAUAAAAUAUUUGCAUAGAAUUUUCUCCUCCACUAGCUGACACCCAGCUUUUUAGUAAGUUUUCUAAAGCUAUUGAGCUAAUAAAACUUUUAGUGAAUAUUCAAAUUUUAGUCAGAUGUUAUCAUUCAGAAUUAAAGUAACAAAAUAGCUAAGUGAGUGGAAAAGUUUGCAAACUAUAUGGAGCAAUUUUCACCUUCUAGAAAAAGAAUAACUGUAUUUCAGAGAGCAGUUUUCCAAAUAAACAUGCAUUAAAGUGUACUUAGAUGCCUCAUAUAUUAACACAUAAUCAUGUUAUAUGUAUAAGAAAUAAUAUAUAUUCAAUUUCUCAUGUUGCUUAGGAUUUCUAAUUUAAUUAGUACAGUGUCAUGACUAGUUUGAAUCCCAAAAAUUAAAUACAUUUUUAAUUUAGGAAAAGAAGCAAUUUCUUUCAUUUUAAGGUAGAGUGGCCCCUAACAGGUCCUCGCUGUAAGAUCAUAUAAUGUUUAAAGGUUUGAUAAGUCCCUGAAAUGUGAAAUUAGAUAACUUAGUGAAACUUAACCUUAACUAUAAUCUUGCAGAUGAGAAGAGAGUAAAAUAUUCUAGAUCCAAGAGGAGUUAUUUUGAGGAGCUUUAAGUGCCAGUAAAUGGAAGCUUAUAAUUAACAUGGCUAUUUAGCUGUCAGUGUAGCUUUAUUUUAAUGUAUAAUGUGUCUAAGACAUGAUGUAGGUACACAGAAGCAUUUGUGGAAUUGAAUUAAAUGUAUGCUUCCUAGAUGUAGCUUCCAAAAGAUAUUGAGCAGUUGUUGAACUACACUAAAUUAUAAACAAUAAUCAAAUGAUCAAUAUUAAUUUAUGAAAUCAGUAACUAAUUUACAAUAAAAAGAAUUGAUUUGUGGUAGAAUUCAGCUGUAAAUUUUGUGUAAAUAUACUAUUAAAACCUAAAUUGCCAAACCCUGGCAGUAUAGAACCAAGCAUAGCAAUAUUAGAUAUAACUUACAACUUACUGAUAGUUCAUUUAAACAGAUAUUCACAUGUUCAUUUUGUAAUUGUUUUUUGGGUCAUGUGGUGAUAAAUCAUUCAGUAUACUAAAUUGUCGCUUUUUAGUGUUAUUGAAUUUUACAUACACUUUACUAAUCAAACCUUGAAUCAUUGUGUAAGUUUUUAAAGUGUAGGAGGUUGGGUAGACUAAGCACACCAUUUAAUUUAUUUUCCUUUAUAAAUAUGUCUUUAAAACAACUGUCAUUUAAAAAAAUUAUACCAUCUUUAAUUUUCAGGUAAUAAAUUGACAGAUUCUGUUCAGUAGUAAUUUCAGGAAAUAUUAACUCUUCUCUCUUGGAUACCUCUGUCAACACUCAUUCACUGAUGCUUAAAAUCAGUUAAUAGUCAACAGUGCCUUUCAUUUACCUGUUAGAAGGCCAUAAAUGUAAAUAAGCCUGGAAGAGAACAUGUUUGACUUAUUACUACAUUAAGAUUCAAAUCACUGAUACCAAAUUCUUUUCUUAGAGUCUUUGAUAGGGAAGAGAACACAGUGGGAUAGGCUGGGGCUUGUAGCAAAGGUGGGCUGUGGGUACCAAAGAUAAAUAACCUAUCAUAACCUAUUUUUAAAUUUUGCCAAGGCAAUCCCUGUGAUUAAGUCCCUUAAACAGUUUUGGGAUGUCUUUUUAUUAACCCUCUCAUUUGCAGCCCUGUCUGGUAUUCAGAAUUGCACCCUGAGGAUAUUUUGUUAAUGCAGAAAAUUUUGAUAGUGCUAAUAUUCUUUGGGAAGUAUAAUGUUGUACAUAUACUGUAGUCCUCCC